rnacentral:misc_RNA from 1 species
GAAAUGCGAUACUUGGUGUGAAUUGCAGAAUCCCGUGAACCAUCGAGUCUUUGAACGCAUCUUGCGCUCGUGAGUCCUCUCACGAGCAUGCCUGUUUGAGUAUCGGUUUCCAAUCCUCAAAAGAAACAACCCUUUUGGAUUGUUUUUUGGAAUCGAUUGGGAGUUCAGCAUUUGUUUGCUGAUCUCUUGAAACAAUAGGCUUGGUGUUGUUUUGCGAUAAUCCGAAUAUGCACAGUAACAUUGAAAAGCGGAUCAAGUGCAAUAGCCCUUAGUUCACUUUUUACGCUGUGCAUGUUUGAUGAAUGUGGCAAGAGUCAACAGUCAAGUCUGUCAAACAAGGAACCAAAAAAGAAACCCCUGAUAAAAAGGGGGAGUCUUUUUUUCACACAUCGAUCUCAAA